CAGCAGCCGCGGUAAUACGGAGGGUGCAAGCGUUAUCCGGAAUCAUUGGGUUUAAAGGGUCCGUAGGCGGGCUAAUAAGUCAGUGGUGAAAUGCAGGGGCUUAACUCCGGCACUGCCAUUGAUACUGUUAGUCUUGAAUUAUUGUGAAGUGGUUAGAAUAUGUAGUGUAGCGGUGAAAUGCUUAGAUAUUACAUAGAAUACCAAUUGCGAAGGCAGAUCACUAACAAUAUAUUGACGCUGAUGGACGAAAGCGUGGGUAGCGAACAGGAUUAGAUACCCUGGUAGUCCACGCCGUAAACGAUGGUUACUAGCUGUUCGGUACGAUUAAGUACUGAGUGGCCAAGCGAAAGUGAUAAGUAACCCACCUGGGGAGUACGUUCGCAAGAAUGAAACUCAAAGGAAUUGACGGGGGCCCGCACAAGCGGUGGAGCAUGUGGUUUAAUUCGAUGAUACGCGAGGAACCUUACCUGGGCUUAAAUGCAGAUUGACAGGUUUAGAAAUAGACUUUUCUUCGGACAAUUUGCAAGGUGCUGCAUGGUUGUCGUCAGCUCGUGCCGUGAGGUGUCAGGUUAAGUCCUAUAACGAGCGCAACCCCUAUCACUAGUUGCCAGCGAGUCAAGUCGGGGACUCUAGUGAGACUGCCGGUGCAAACCGUGAGGAAGGUGGGGAUGACAUCAAAUCAUCACGGCCCUUACGUCCUGGGCCACACACGUGCUACAAUGGUAGGGACAGAAAGCAGCCACUUCGUGAGAAGGAGCGAAUCUACAAACCCUAUCUCAGUUCGGAUCGUAGUCUGCAACUCCACUACGUGAAGCUGGAAUCGCUAGUAAUCGCAUAUCAGCCAUGAUGCGGUGAAUACGUUCCCGGGCCUUGUACACACCGCCCGUCAAGCCAUGGAAGCUGGGGGUGCCUGAAGUCGGUGACCGCAAGGAGCUGCCUAGGGUAAAACCAGUGACUGGGGCUAAGUCGUAACAAGGUAGC
rnacentral:rRNA from 1 species